UUCAUAUCUCUCUCUUUUCUAUGUAUCAGCCCACCCUUUCAUAUUGUUUUUCUUUUUUUAAACAAAACAAAAAUUCAUAACAAAAGAAGAACAAAAACAAAACCCAGUGGUAGAGAAGAACAACAGGAGACAAAAAUGAAGUUUCACGGUGGUGCGUUGGUGAUGGUACGGCGGUGCCACCGUGAAACCUACGGUUUUCAAUUUUUUUUAAUGUUUUCGUGUAUAGUUUUGCCUUCUGGUUUCAAAUUUGAGAGUAAUUUAAAAAAAAAAAAACAAUCGAUCAGAGUAAAUCUACAAACAAAGUUUUAA